AAAUGACUCUCGGCAACGGAUAUCUCGGCUCUCGUAUCGAUGAAGAACGUAGCGAAAUGCGAUACUUGGUGUGAAUUGCAGAAUCCCGUGAACCAUCGAGUCUUUGAACGCAAGUUGCGCCUGAAGCCUUUUGGCUAAGGGCACGUCUGCCUGGGCGUCACACAU
rnacentral:rRNA from 1 species